rnacentral:rRNA from 1 species
UACGGGGGGGGCAAGCGUUGUUCGGAAUUACUGGGCGUAAAGGGCUCGUAGGCGGCCAACUAAGUCGGAUGUGAAAUCCCCAGGCUCAACCUGGGAACUGCAUCCGAUACUGGAUGGCUUGAAUCCGGGAGAGGGAUGCAGAAUUCCAGGUGUAGCGGUGAAAUGCGUAGAUAUCUGGAGGAACACCGAUGGCGAAGGCAGGUCUCUGGGCCACUACUGACGCUGAGAAGCGAAAGCAUGGGGAGCGAACAGG